UACGGAGGGGGUUAGCGUUGUUCGGAAUACUGGGCGUAAAGCGCGCGUAGGCGGACUAUUAAGUCAGAGGUGAAAUCCCGGGGCUCAACCCCGGAACUGCCUUUGAUACUGGUAGUCUUGAGUUCGGAGAGAGUAAGUGGAAUUCCGAGUGUAGAGGUGAAAUUCGUAGAUAUUCGGAGGACACCAGUG
rnacentral:rRNA from 1 species